CUGGAGUUGACAAAAAUCCACCAGACUUCUAGAAGGUCUGCAGCUCCUUCAAAAUGAAACGAGAAUCUGUGCAGUUUUUCCUCUUCUGUGUUCUGAGGUUAUGAGCCGACAAUUAGUCCAGUUUGUUUUCAUAAUGUUCUGUAUGCUAAUUUAAAAAAGGGUAACCAGUUUGUUUAUAAAGUAUACAUAUACAUAUACAAAACAAAUGGAAUACAAGCUAUAGUAUUACUCUCACCACAGUGGCCUAAUCUAAAAAAAUAGAAAUAUGUCUCGUCACCUAUUUUCUGUCUAAUACUAAAAGGUGGUGUUUUGUAUCAUUUAUAAUGUUUUGAAUUUGCUAUAAAGGUCAAUAAUAGAUGGUGUUUUUGUGUUCAAUCACAGUAUGUAUUUACCAUUUUAUACCCCUUGUGUUUUUGGGUCCUGUUGAAAUAAAACUUGAUUUAAUAAAGUCAUAUAAGUCCCAUAAUAAUGUCAAUCAUCUUUGAUCCCAGUGUGACACAAACAGCUUUGUUCAGUCUAAAACUAUUUAUAACCUAGAAACAUAAUAUAACUGAAGAACAUGUUGUGUUGCUGUUGUGUAUGUAUGUGUUGAGAAUGCUGAACAUUUUGUGCCUUACAAUAAAGGAACUUAUUUAAAUUAA